rnacentral:lncRNA from 1 species
AGCAGGUAGAGGGCCAACAGCAUUUGUCUGAGAGGAUUACAUCUAUGAAAAAAGCAGAGGCUGAUAUUGAAACCUUUUAAAGGUCAUCACGUGGGACUAGUAUCUUAUUCACUGUUGUUUUUUUUUCUCCCCUUCGUGGGUGUGAAAGCUAUGCAUUCUAGCUCCUUCUUCCUGAUUAGAGUAAAAAAAUAAAAUGUCCAUGCACAUGUACUCCCCACCUGAGUCUGACACACCCUCAGGUUAACAUGAUUGGUACGCAAGACUAAAACAUGUUCUUGAAACAGAGAGGUUGGACUGACUGAGCUCUUCAGUAAACACAGAGGAAGAAGGAGAUUAGCACAACUUCUAUGCGAUCAGUAAAGGUCCCAGUAACAUCAUGGAGCAUAAUUUCCAUUUAUAUCCCAUUUACUUGAUGCUCUUGGUACUUGGUUGGCUCAAGACACCCAUCUCUGCUCAGGUACUUUACAGUCUCCUUAUGCAAUACUGUAGCAAAAAAUCUAUUAUAGUGAAUCAUUAAGGAUCUAAAAAUUUCACUUAGUGUUUUUUCAUUACUGACUAAAUAGGAUAGACACUUACUUGUGACCUGUCAUUAGUGUCAGUUGGAAUCU